UGGCUGGGUGGCCACGACUUUUACUUUGAUGGCCGGUGCUUCUUGUUGCGGACUGCUUGUAUGAAAGGCCGUCUAAAUACGUGCAGUGUAGUUUCAACGCAUUAGUGAUUUAAGGUGCGCAAUGCUGAAGAGCACAAUGUUUAUUGCUCUCUGUGUUGGAAAGAUUGUUGUAGCUUCAGCUGUUGCCUAAUGUCGAGCAAGUUGCAUCUGUGGAAGCUUUUCGUAGGCAAGUGUGCUUUUAGUACUCGCACAGCUACAGCGUGGUGUCUUGGGGGCUGGGGUUGCGGUAUACCUUCACAACAAUCACCAAAGAUGACAUCCACCAUGCCCUAACGGUUUCGGCAACCGCAGCGCCGUUCUUGCGACUUUCGCCAUCGUCAUCAUGCGAGACCACAGACACAGCGACUCCUUCUUCCACAACGGUCUUUCGCUUUGCUGACUGGAUGCGCGCCUGCAAAUCAAUCACUCUCAGAGAUGGCAGGGAUGCUGCAAAUUUCGUGCGCUGCCUCGCUACUACAUGGCAGCGUUGGCAAUCCGGAUUGCUCGCACGACCGACGAGGUAUCUCUAUUCUGCUUUCACUGCGUCAUCACCUCCAGUGCUUCUAUGGACUUCCCCAUGUGCUGUCACGGUGUCAGACCUCCAGUGACAUGAGUCGUACCCACCCACCAAUGACCGCCGCGACUGAUACUUCCGCUGAUACAACUGAUACAGCAACGGCUGCGGAAAGCGUCUCAGGACGUCGCCGUAAAACACGGACCACAUUCGCCUACAAGUGGCCCCAGGCGUCGUGACCAGCGGCGCAGCAACGCCUCCUAGAUGACGAAACGACUGAUGAGCUCAGAGUCGUGACGUCGUGCUUGUUGGACGAAGCUUUAAAUCAAUGA